AGGUCAGGGAGCAGAGAUCACGUGGUGCGCGGCAGUUGGACGGGAGAGAAGGGGGCGUUUGGAGCGUUGGUCCCUCUCGGCUUUGACGUUUACUCUGCAGUUCCUGGAAAAGGGAAUGGACUUCAAAUAUUCUUUUACCAGAAAAUUUCUACUUCCAAAGUGAUGAAGGGACAGCCUCUUCCCCAAGAUCCUGCAUCUGGAGAUGGUAGUACGUUGCCACUGGUCUCCAUCAGAAGAGCUCAGUUACUAAAGAACCUGAGAAGUCUUAAUUGAGAAUGCAGGCAAGAAUGAGAGGAAAAAGAAAUAUAACAGGAAAUGCUGUUAAGUCUGUCAAUGAGGUAUAAUGGCCUUUACAGAUCUGAAGAAGGGUUCUGCGUAUGCCAGAAAGCUUGCCUGUCUCACCAACAGAAGUUGUUCCAAUAAAAGAUGAUGUCUCUCAGAACAAUACCUGCUAUGCAAACUGAAAACACCCAAGAAAAGAACGUCUUCCUGGCAAGGCAUGGAAAUUUCCGACGGCAAAAG